UUGAAGGAUGACAUAUUGUCCUAUUCCUUAAAAUAGUUUCCCCUGACUAUCUUCAAGACUACGACAUGCUAGUACUAGAAAAUAUUGAAGUAUUUGAUAUGAGAAAAUGUAUCUGAAAUUGUGUAAACUUAAAGACUGAACAACAAGGAUCAUGCCUUAGGACUCUUGGUCUCCAGCUGGUGGCACUGCUGGGGGGAGAUUGUGGAGCCUUUGGAAGCAUCUCCAGCAUCUGGGACACAUUUCAGAAAAGCAC